CUAAUUCGUCUAUCAUUUACAAUGAGAUCGUUUUCAAGAUUAAUUUGAUUGAUCCACAUAUUUUCCUCAUCUUCUACUAUAAUGGAUGUUCAACUUGAUGUAACUUGUUGGAAGUCAAAGGUGCAAAAUGCGUUAAUUCAGGAAAUCUUGCAAGGAUUUUAUGGUAAGGUAUUAAUCCUGGAUCCAUUAGCAGCAAACAGUUUAAAAGAUGAAGAAGAUUGAGAAAACUGAGCUAAUCUUUUAGGAAUCAAUGAAAUGUCAGCUCCGGUAUCAACAAGAAAAUUGAGUAAUGAAGUUUUAUCAGUAACAAUGAGGCGACUACAAGGUAAACCGUCACAAUCUGCCUCAUGACUCAACGGCAAAAUCAGUUUUCCGGAUUUGCAGUAAAAGCUUUAGACAUAGCACAAGAUCUCGAUCUGCUUCUAUAGCGUUUAACUUCUAAAGCGGAAAUUCUACGCUCCAAAUCAGCUAAACUAGAGGAACCAGAUUCAGGUGUAGAAGUUACAGCGGCAAUUUGUAAGCCCGAAUCUCUCUCCAAAAUCUUAUCAGCCAAUUCAGCAAGCUUGAUUAAAGGAGCUUCAUCAACAACAGCUAAAGUAGCUUGAACUCUAAGAGAAUCAGAAAAUCGAUUUAUAAGUACAUUUUUUAAAUAAAGAUAUUUAUCUCGCUCUGGAGGAUUUUCAACAAUCUCAGCAACAGCUACUAAAGCUUGUUCAUCAAGAUGUUCUUGAGGUUGUUCAGUCGAUGUCCCAGGAGAAGACACAGGAGAACGUUCAACAGGCAUCUCGAAGAAAGAUUUCAAAUUUCGUGCACGACAAUCGUCAGGAGAGCCAAAACGUAAACACGAUUCUUUGACAGGCUUGUCUUUUCAAUCACGUCGGGGUCACCAGUUAUGGGAAAGAUUUCCCUAUUCUAUCUUAUACUUAUGAAAUAAAUAGACUUUGUAAAGUUAUACGUGUUUACUAAUAUCAAGCUUACAAA
rnacentral:lncRNA from 1 species